UCUCCGUUGGUGAACCAGCGGAGGGAUCAUUACCGAGUUUACAAACUCCCAAACCCUUUGUGAACCUUACCAUAUUGUUGCUUCGGCGGGACCGCCCCGGCGCCUUCGGGCCCGGAACCAGGCGCCCGCCGGAGGUUACAAACCCUGAAUUUUAGUGUAUCUCUGAGUACAAAAACGAAAUAAUUAAAACUUUCAACAACGGAUCUCUUGGUUCUG
rnacentral:misc_RNA from 1 species